GCACUCACUACACACCAGGAGCAACUUGGGGAUUAAGGACCUUGCCCAAGGGCCCUUAGUGAUUUACUGGUCUGGUUGGGGUUUUAACUGAGGAUCCUCU